rnacentral:lncRNA from 1 species
CUUAUUCCUUCAUGUAAUGAACCAUACUUGUUGGCAUAUUCUAUUGCAGAAGAGGUAGGUGCAGAUUUUUUCAUAUUGGCAACUGUAUAUUAUGUUAAGUAAAGUAAGUAACAAAAGCAACACCUCCCACUUUAGGACAGCCUCCACUCCCCUUCCAGCCUGUAUGAUCACAGCUAGACUUUUCACAGCUCCUGAAUCACUGAGAAUACCAGAAAGAAAUAAUUUCUUCAACCUCGAUUUCCAAAUCAUUGUUUGCACAGAAGGUGUCAGUAGUGUUUUUCCUGGUGCAGUUCUCCCUUGAGCUGCUGGUGGUCCACACAGGUGCAGGAAGAAGUUGAGCCCAGGCUGUUCUGCAGCAGUUAGAGCGAUUAGGGGCACCUGGUCUGUGUGCUGUUGCUUAUAUUAAAGAACAUACCUUUACAUCCUGCUGACUUCUUCAUUUCUGUGUGUUCAGUUUCACAAGCACAAGGUAAGUGGUUGGGCUUGUAUUUAAUCCCUUGCAUGAAGUGACCUUCCUAAAUUAAUUCUCCUGGGCAGUCCCGACUGAAUAUGGUGUUUAUGAAGUGUUAACAAGCCGGGUUGUGGAAGGAUGGAUGCUGCUGCAGCCAAGGCACUCUUGACUUUAAGUGUGGCAGUAUCUACAAUCUGGUAAAUCAAGUGCAAAAGAUAUCCUCCACUAAUGGCUCUCUAG